rnacentral:rRNA from 1 species
AUAUUACUAAGCGGAGGAAAAGAAAUCAACGAAGAUUGCCUCAGUAGCGGCGAGUGAAGCGGCAAUAGCUCAAGUUUAGAAUCUGUGGCCUCUGGUCACCGAAUUGUAAUCUAAAGGGAUUAACAAAAGGGGAUGUGGAAGCAUAAGUUCCUUGGAACAGGACAUCAUAGAGGGUGAAAAUCCCGUAUGUAGCUUUCGCUGAACCGAAUGUUGGUCUUCUAAGAGUCGGGUUGUUUGGGAUUGCAGCCCUAAAUGGGAGAUAAACUUCUUCUAAGGCUAAAUAUCUAUGGGAGACCGAUAGCGCACAAGUA